rnacentral:misc_RNA from 1 species
GAUGAAGAACGUAGCGAAAUGCGAUAAGUAAUGUGAAUUGCAGAAUUCAGUGAAUCAUCGAAUCAUUGAACGCACAUUGCGCCCGCCAGUAUUCUGGCGGGCAUGCCUGUUCGAGCGUCAUUUCAACCAUCAAGCUCUGCUUGCGUUGGGGAUCCGCGGCUGCCCGCGGUCCCUCAAAACCAGUGGCGGGCUCGCUAGUCACACCGAGCGUAGUAACUUUACAUCGCUAUGGUCGUGCGGCGGGUGCUUGCCGUAAAACCCCCCAAUUUUUAAGGUUGACCUCGGAUCAGGUAGGAAUACCCGCUGAACUUAAGCAUAUCAAUAAGCGGAGGA